rnacentral:rRNA from 1 species
AACGAACGCUGGCGGCAUGCCUAACACAUGCAAGUCGAACGAAGUCUUCGGACUUAGUGGCGCACGGGUGCGUAACGCGUGGGAAUCUGCCCUUGGGUGCGGAAUAACUUCUCGAAAGGGAUGCUAAUACCGCAUAAUGUCGUAAGACCAAAGAUUUAUCGCCCAAGGAUGAGCCCGCGUAAGAUUAGCUAGUUGGUGGGUAAAAGCCUACCAAGGCGACGAUCUUUAGCUGGUCUGAGAGGAUGAUCAGCCACACUGGGACUGAGACACGGCCCAGACUCCUACGGGAGGCAGCAGUGGGGAAUAUUGGACAAUGGGCGAAAGCCUGAUCCAGCAAUGCCGCGUGAGUGAUGAAGGCCCUAGGGUUGUAAAGCUCUUUUACCAGGGAUGAUAAUGACAGUACCUGGAGAAUAAGCUCCGGCUAACUCCGUGCCAGCAGCCGCGGU